CCUGCGUCACAAACCAGACGCCGGAAGUUCAAGGAAAGCAGAGGCGGCAGUCCAAAGGCAUUAGCGCUCCUCACAAAAAGGGGGCCUUAGAGAACAGGCUCCGAUGGGGAGAGAAGGCGCAGAGAGCGACAGGAUGCCAGAUCUGGUUUUCUCCACCAGAAGCAAUGGUCACGCUCACACCCUUUUGGAGAUAAGACAAGGAUAUCCAGCGUGUAAAUGCACACCCAUGCACACACACAACAAUAUAGUCUGUUUCCACCUUGCUCUUUUCACUCAA